AUCAAAUAAAAUACUUCAAAAAAUUAGUGUAAAAUUAUAUCUUAAUAAAUUUAAUUUAUUUUGCGGUCAAAAAUUGACUCGCGCUUACAUAAUCAUAAAAUAGUUCAGAAACCGGGUAGAUCUUACACUACUUUUAUAAUAAUAUGAUAUUAUAGUAUCUUCGUAGCUGAUAUGUGUUAUCUUAUCAAUAGUUUAUUAAUCAUUAGUUUAUUCAAUAUGUCAAAAGACCGAAUACCUAUCUUUCUUCCGAAUCGUCAAAAAAUAUUUAUUUUUGGCUUACUUAUAUAAAUUUUACUUUUACGUAUAAUUUUACUUAAACACUAUAGGCAUACGCGCGAGAGGUGCUGGAUGUACCCGGGCACCCUCCGAAGUGUAAAUGGGGCUCUACAAUAGGCGGAUAAGCCCAAUGGUCUACUGUCCAAAAGGACAGUUCACGAACAACAUUUUUUCAAACACUGGAUUUCAUCAACAUGCAACCUGAACCAAAGUUUAUAAUUCAUAUUUGUAUAUAUAUAUAUAUAUAUAUAUACAGUGCUCGACUUGAGGGGGGGACGCAAGGGGACGGAGUACCCCAACUAAUUUACAGACAUUUUAGCGUCCCCCUACUAUUAUUAUGUUAUAAAUAUAACGCUUAAUAAGUUUUGAGUACGCUCUUUUUUUUAAAUAAAUAGAGUCACCCUUCUUUAAUUUUUCCAAGUCGAGCAUUGUAUAUAUAUACUGCAGUGACAGCUAACGAUAGUGUGCUUUAUGUGAAAUAAGUAUUUAAACUUCAUCUCAAUAGUUAAUGGUGGAAUUUACAUGAACCCAAUUUUACCUGCUUUUUUUCUGGCGGAGUUUACAUGCGCCCGUGGAAUGAAUAGUGGUAUUAUCUUCCCCGAAUAUUGCUACGAUUA